AAUUUCUCCAGCGAACGUUCUUGGUGAAGUGCUCUUCCUUCGUUCAUUUUGAAUUUACAUCUCGUUGAUGGACGUCAAGGGAUGUCGCAGCUUUCCAGCGUUGGGUUAAAAACAUCAAGCGCUGGAGAGCACCUGCUAAGUAGCUCGCUCUUAUCACAAUUCUUUUAAAAAAGAUGGAAUAAUGGAUUGUAAACAUUCCUCCUUAAGAUUGGAAGCUUAUAAUUAUUGAUGAAAAAAAAGAUGUACAUAAAAUGAGUGCAACAUAUUACAAGCGCCAUAAAGCGGUUUUCUUGUGCUUAUACUCCCAAGAGCCUAAGAAUGUUUACAGGAUGAGGCUGCAAAAUAUAUGCACAAAUUGAAGGCAUUUUUGUAUAGUACAAUAAAGAGACAUCAAAUUUCUAAGAAACACAGUUAAAAAUGAUUGAUUUGGACAUAAGAAAAUAUUUGCUUUGUGUGGAAAUAGCAACCUUUAUCUCAGGAAUACAUGUCCAAUGUGCCAAAAAGGUGUCAGACUAUUUUUGAUAAUAAUACCGACUGGAAAAUUUACUUACAUGAGAAAGAUGGAAUAAUGGAUUGUAAACAAGGAUUUCUACUUAAGAUUGGAAGCUUAUAACAUAAGAAAGAAAUGACAGAAACUUUAUUAUUUUAAUCUUGAAACACCAGUUUAAUCAUAGUUUAUCAAUAUUGUAAUUAACAAUAUGAUGAGCAACCAAAACUGCUCCAGUCAAUCUGAAUGCAUGUGAAGACUAUUGUUUCUGAACAUAUUAAGAAUGUCAAUAAAAAUUUAUAAACAGCAGAACAAAGAAUAAUAUAUAUUAUUCAUGUUCUUGUUGUAUCAUUUUAGACGUAUGACCAUAUGAAAAAUGGAUGAGGGCAAAUCAUGACGAAGUAAAAUAGAAAUUAUAAUAUGAGAAAAAAAAUGAUAUAUAUAUAUAUAUAACAUUGAAUUUUACAUUACAUUGGAGUCUUGCAAUUAAAACCUAAGAAAGAGAUGAGAGAAGAGCAUAUAAUAAUGAAUCUACAUCACAUUGGAGUCUCAUGAUGAAGCUAGUUAUCUUGCAAUCGAUAACAAUAGAAUACACAGUGUGGAUCAUAUAAAAGGUAAAUUCAAAGUAUUUAUUGAUGAAAACAAUAAAUAUUUUUGUAAUGCUUGAGAUGUAUACGUAAUGUUGUGAAAAUCAAGUACGAUGAUGUCACAAUACGCUAUUCUGAUUACCCAUGAUCGGACUUGCCCUCACUGAUCUAAAUGUUAUGGAUAAGAAUUCUGGAUGUGUAUGGUCAUUAAUUGUGCGAUUUUGAUGUCCAAAGGAAACCAUUUAUGAAUAUUCAAAGAUAAUCUCGAAGAACAGAAGAUAAAGGAAGUAACAUUGUAUGAGAAUAAAAUAAAUAGCAAGUUCCAUAGAAAUACAAUUCUUUUAUUGGAACCUUUAUAUUACAUCCAAGGUAAAAAAUGCAAAUACGCGUUUCUGUUAGACUAGAUAUCCAUUUCGCAAGAACGUAACAUCGGUGAAAGAUCGCACAAAGGUUAGGCGGAACAGC